UCCCAUGUGCACGGAGCCCCCU
rnacentral:piRNA from 1 species